rnacentral:rRNA from 1 species
GAUCAUGGCUCAGGAUGAACGCUAGCUACAGGCUUAACACAUGCAAGUCNCGGGGCAGCAUUUCCUUAGCUUGCUAAGGAAGAUGGGCGACCGGCGCACGGGUGAGUAACGCGUAUCCAACCUUCCCAUGUCCACGGGAUAGCCCGUCGAAAGGCGGAUUAAUACCGUAUGAGGUCACAUGCGGGCAUCUAAGUGUGACGAAAGGUUUAGCGGACAUGGAUGGGGAUGCGUCCGAUUAGCUUGUUGGCGGGGUAACGGCCCACCAAGGCGACGAUCGGUAGGGGUUCUGAGAGGAAGGUCCCCCACAUUGGAACUGAGACACGGUCCAAACUCCUACGGGAGGCAGCAGUGAGGAAUAUUGGUCAAUGGACGCAAGUCUGAACCAGCCAAGUAGCGUGCAGGAUGACGGCCCUAUGGGUUGUAAACUGCUUUUUAUGCGGGGAUAAAGUGUGGGACGUGUCCCAUAUUGUAGGUACCGCAUGAAUAAGGACCGGCUAAUUCCGUG